rnacentral:rRNA from 1 species
CUUGGAUCUUAAACAGUUACUUGGAUAACUNNGGUAAUUCUAGAGCUAAUACAUGCAAACAAGUCCCGACCAGAGAUGGGAGGGACGCUUUUAUUAGAUCAAAACCGAUCGGCGUCCGGCUCCGGCCGGCGCCGUCUCUUUUGGUGACUCUGGAUAACUUUUAGCCGAUCGCACGGUCACAGUACCGGCGACGCAUCUUUCAAAUGUCUGACUUAUCAACUGUCGAUGGGAGGCUCUGCGCCUACCAUGGUUGUAACGGGUAACGGGGAAUCAGGGUUCGAUUCCGGAGAGGGAGCCUGAGAAACGGCUACCACAUCCAAGGAAGGCAGCAGGCGCGCAAAUUACCCACUCCCGGCACGGGGAGGUAGUGACGAAAAAUAACGAUACGGGACUCAUCCGAGGCCCCGUAAUCGGAAUGAGUACACUUUAAAUACUUUAACGAGUACCAAUUGGAGGGCAAGUCUGGUGCCAGCAGCCCCGGUAAUUCCAGCUCCAAUAGCGUAUAUUAAAGUUGUUGCGGUUAAAAAGCUCGUAGUUGGAUCUGUGU